CACUCAGACCUCUCCCCAUGAGUGAACCUGAUACCAUCCAGAGCUUGGAAGCUAAGCAGCCUUGAGCCUGGACAGUGCUUGGAUGGGCGACCACUGUGCACGAACAGGGUGUUAUAGGCA
rnacentral:rRNA from 1 species